rnacentral:rRNA from 1 species
GACGGAGGGGGCAAGCGUUGUCCGGACUCACUGGGCGUAAAGGGCUCGUAGGCGGUUUGUCGCGUCGGGAGUGAAAUCCACUGGCUUAACUGGUGGCUUGCUUUCGAUACGGGCAGACUGGAGGUAUGCAGGGGAGAACGGAAUUCCUGGUGUAGCGGUGAAAUGCGCAGAUAUCAGGAGGAACACCGGUGGCGAAGGCGGUUCUCUGGGCAUGUCCUGACGCUGAGGAGCGAAAGUGUGGGGAGCGAACAGG